AUAUCUACCUGGCAGGGGAGAUAGCAUGAUCAUGAAGGUGGUUUUCCCAGGGUGAGGCUCACUCAUUGCACUGCGAGUAUGCUGACCCCUGCGAUUUCCCCAAAUGGGGGAAACUCGACUGCAUAAUUUGUGGUGGUGGGGGACUGCAUGUGUGCUCUCCCUUG
rnacentral:snRNA from 1 species